rnacentral:rRNA from 1 species
CUAGCAUAUCAAUAAGCGGAGGAAAAGAAACCAACAGGGAUUGCCUCAGUAACGGCGAGUGAAGCGGCAACAGCUCAAAUUUGAAAUCUGGCCCCCCGGGUCCGAGUUGUAAUUUGCAGAGGAUGCUUUUGGCGCGGUGCCUUCCGAGUUCCCUGGAACGGGACGCCAUAGAGGGUGAGAGCCCCGUACGGUUGGACACCAAGCCUGUGUAAAGCUCCUUCGACGAGUCGAGUAGUUUGGGAAUGCUGCUCAAAAUGGGAGGUAUAUUUCUUCUAAAGCUAAAUACCGGCCAGAGACCGAUAGCGCACAAGUAGAGUGAUCGAAAGAUGAAAAGCACUUUGAAAAGAGGGUUAAACAGCACGUGAAAUUGUUAAAAGGGAAGCGCUUGUGACCAGACUUGCGCCCGGUGAAUCACCCAGCUCUCGCGGCUGGGGCACUUUGCCGGCUCAGGCCAGCAUCAGCUCGCCGUCGGGGACAAAAGCUUCGGGAACGUAGCUCUCUUCGGGGAGUGUUAUAGCCCGCUGCACAAUACCCUUCGGCGGGCUGAGGUACGCGCUCCGCAAGGAUGCUGGCGUAAUGGUCAUCAGCGACCCGUCUUGAAACACGGACCAAGGAGUCAACCUUAUGUGCGAGUGUUCGGGUGUCAAACCCCUACGCGAAAUGAAAGUGAACGCAGGUGAGAGCUUCGGCGCAUCAUCGACCGAUCCUGAUGUUCUCGGAUGGAUUUGAGUAAGAGCAUAUAGGGUUGGACCCGAAAGAAGGUGAACUAUGCGUGUAUAGGGUGAAGCCAGAGGAAACUCUGGUGGAGGCUCGCAGCGGUUCUGACGUGCAAAUCGAUCGUCAAAUAUGCGCAUGGGGGCGAAAGACUAAUCGAACCUUCUAGUAGCUGGUUUCCG